GCCACCUGCGCACUGCCCUCGCUUCCUGCGCCUCUUCAGGUCAUCGCUUGCUGUCGUUCCCAGGCUUUGGCCUCUAGUGGACGAGAAUCACCGAGUCUGCGGGGCUGGACGCUGACCGCCCGGGCCAGCACCUAGGCGGGCGGGAGCUGUGCGGCCCAGGGUUCGCGCGGGCCGGGUAGAGGCUCGAGCCGGGACCCCCGAGCGUGAACCCCGGAGCCGGCGGCGCUGGGGCCAGAGGGGCCGGGCGGGAGGUGGUGGCGGAGGCGAAGGGGCGACAGGACCUGGGCCUGGCCCGUGUGUGUUCUCAGCGGCCUGGCGCCAGCCGUCGCUGUACGGUGAGCCCCAGGGAGGCGGAUCUGGGCCCCGAGAAGGACACCCGCCUGGAUUUGCCCCGUAGGCCCGGCCCGGGCCCCUCGGGAGCAGAACAGCUUUGGUGAGGUGGACAGGAGGGGACCUCGCGAGCAGACGCGCGCGCCAGCGACAGCAGCCCUCCCCGGCCUCUCGGGAGCCGUGGGGCAGAGGCUGCGGAGCCCCAGGAGGGGGCCAGUGUCAUUCAAAGAUGUGGCUGUGGAUUUCACCCAGGAGGAGUGGCAGCAACUGGACCCUGAUGAGAAGAUAGCAUACGGGGAUGUGAUGUUGGAGAACUACAGCCAUCUAGUUUCUGUGGGGUAUGAUUAUCACCAAGCCAAACAUCAUCAUGGAGUGGAGGUGAAGGAAGUGGAGCAGGGAGAGGAGCCAUGGAUAAUGGAAAGUGAAUUUCCAUGUCAACAUAGUCCAGGACAAAGCAGUUCCAAUUCCAGAGAAAAUGAGUGAAUGGGCACCUCGACCUCCCCCAGAAUUUGUCCGAGAUGUCAUGGGUUCAAGUGCUGGGGCCGGCAGUGGAGAGUUCCACGUGUACAGACAUCUGCGCCGGAGAGAAUACCAGCGACAGGACUACAUGGAUGCCAUGGCUGAGAAGCAAAAAUUGGAUGCAGAGUUUCAGAAAA
rnacentral:sRNA from 1 species